UGAAGCCCCCGGCAGAGCUGGUGUUGGUGGCCAUCUUGGAGCCUGCUGUCAAGUCCUUGCUCCUCCUCUUCUCCCUGGUCAUCCUGCUACUGAAGACCCGCAAGAAGGAGGUGGUCAGGCCCUCACAGAAAGAGAGGAUCCCAAACACCACCAAGUAUUAAUCUCUCAGUUUUAGGGACUGUCCAAAUGCAUAUGACACAAGGGGAGAAGACCGGUGUUGGCCCUGAGACUAUCACUCCAGCUAUCGAUGCCACUGUGAGCACUGCAACCUUCAACCACAGAGAACUCUGAAAGACAAAUUUGUGUUUUCUAUGGCAAGAAAUGCUCAUUUGUAUAGAGAGGAACUGGGGCAAUUUCUGAACCCUUCACAUCCAGCAGGGCAGCCCCCAUAGGAACGCCCCCUCUGCCCUGGUUCAGAGACUCUGUCUCCCUCCUCUCUUACAUAAGCCCUAGGAGUAAGACUC